rnacentral:rRNA from 1 species
AUACGGAGGGUGCAAGCGUUGUUCGGAUUUACUGGGCGUAAAGGGCGUGUAGGCGGAUAUGCAAGCUGGAGGUGAAAGCCCCGGGCUCAACCCGGGUACUGCUUUGUAGAACUGCAUGUCUAGAGAAAGUCAGAGGCAGGUGGAAUUCCAGGUGUAGAGGUGAAAUUCGUAGAGAUCUGGAGGAACACCGGCGGCGAAGGCGGCCUGCUGGGGCUUUUCUGACGCUGAGGCGCGAAAGCGUGGGGAGCAAACAGGAUUAGAAACCCCAGUAGUCC